rnacentral:rRNA from 1 species
UACGAAGGGGGCUAGCGUUGCUCGGAAUCACUGGGCGUAAAGCGCACGUAGGCGGCCUCUUAAGUCGGUGGUGAAAUCCUGGAGCUCAACUCCAGAACUGCCUUCGAUACUGGGAGUCUCGAGUUCGGGAGAGGUGAGUGGAGCUGCGAGUGUAGAGGUGAAAUUCGUAGAUAUUCGCAAGAACACCAGUGGCGAAGGCGGCUCACUGGCCCGAUACUGACGCUGAGGUGCGAAAGCGUGGGGAGCAAACAGG